GGCUGAGUGGCUCAGUUGGUUAAGCGUCUGACUUCAGCUCAGGUCAUGAUCUCACGGUUCAUGGGUUCAAGCCCCAUGUCGGGCU
rnacentral:tRNA from 1 species